AUUUGGAUGUGAUAUGCAUACUCCUAUGAGAUUAAGGUACAACCGUAGGUGAAAUUGCAAGAACAACAACCAAGAGCCGAGCAAAGCAUUCAGGGAUGUAGAACUAUUAGUUUCUGUAAAAAUUCUUCACGGGCUAUAAAAAAUAUUUAUGGGUUCAUUUUAAUAGAUAUGGGUUUGAUUUUAUAUUAGUACCAGGUUGAUAGAUGUGGAUGAGCUUUUGUCUUUGACAUCUUCUAAUUGUGAAGUGCUAUCAAGUUAGUAGAU